rnacentral:rRNA from 1 species
AGAGUUUGAUCAUGGCUCAGCCUGAACGCUGGCAGCGUGGUUAAGACAUGCAAGUCGAACGGGGUGGAGCAAUCCACCUAGUGGCGAACGGGUGAGUAAUGUAUCGCUAACGUGCCCCGAAGUCUGGGAUAGCUGCUCGAAAGGGCAGGUAAUACCAGAUGAGACCCCGGAGUCGCAUGGCUCUGUGCUCAAAGGCGAAAGCCGCUUUGGGAGCGGGCGAUAUCGUAUCAGCUGGUUGGUAGGGUAAUGGCCUACCAAGGCGACGACGCGUAGCCGGACUGAGAGGUCGGCCGGCCACAUCGGGACUGAGACACUGCCCGGACUCCUACGGGGGGCUGCAGUAACGAAUCUUCCCCAAUGCACGAAAGUGUGAGGGAGCGACGCUGCGUGGAGGAUGAAGUCCUUCGGGAUGUAAACUCCUGUCAGGGGUUACCAAGAUCUGAGGAGCCCCAAAGGAAGAGGCGGCUAACUCUGUGCCAGCAGCCGCGGUAAGACAGAGGCCUCGAGCGUUAGGCGGAAUCACUGGGCUUAAAGCGUGUGUAGGCGGAUCGUUAAGUGCCUUGUGAAAUCCCACGGCUCAACCGUGGAACUGCUGGGCAUACUGGCGAUCUUGAGCCACCUAGGGGCAACUGGAACUAACGGUGGAGCGGUGAAAUGCGUAGAUAUCGUUAGGAACGCCAAAGGUGAAAACAGGUUGCUGGGAGUGAGCUGACGCUGAGACACGAAAGCCAGGGGAGCAAACGGGAUUAGAUACCCCGGUAGUCCUGGCCCUAAACGAUGUCCACUAGAUCGUGGCGUCUCUGACGGCGUCAUGGUCGAAGCAAAAGUGCUAAGUGGACCGCCUGGGAAGUACGGUCGCAAGGCUAAAACUCAAAGGAAUUGACGGGGGCUCACACAAGCGGUGGAGCAUGUGGUUCAAUUCGAAGCAACGCGCAGAACCUUACCUGGGCUUGACAUGCCUGGAUUAUCCCUGUGAAAGCAGGGUACGCCCUUCGGGGUGGAACAGGCACAGGUGCUGCAUGGCUGUCGUCAGCUCGUGUCGUGAGAUGUCGGGUUAAGUCCCAUAACGAGCGAAACCUUUGCCCUUAGUUACCAGCGGGUUAUGCCGGGGACUCUAAGGGGACUGCCGGUGUCAAACCGGAGGAAGGUGGAGAUGACGUCAAGUCCUCAUGGCCUUUAUGCCCAGGGCUACACACGUGCUACAAUGGCGUCGAUAAAGCGAACCUAUGCCGCGAGGCGGAGGAAAUCGCAUAAAUGACGCCCCAGUUCAGAUCGGAGGCUGCAACUCGCCUCCGUGAAGUUGGAAUCGCUAGUAAUCGCGGAUCAGCUACGCCGCGGUGAAUGUGUUCCUGAGCCUUGUACACACCGCCCGUCAAGUCAUGGAAGCCGGGAAUAGCCGAAGUCGCCUCACCACGGGGGUGCCUACGCUAGGCUCGGUGACUGGGACUAAGUCGUAACAAGGUAACCGUA